rnacentral:rRNA from 1 species
UCCGUAGGCGGGCGAUUAAGUCAGAGGUGAAAUCCCACAGCUCAACUGUGGAACUGCCUUUGAUACUGGUUGUCUUGAGUUACAGUGAAGUAGAUAGAAUAUGUAGUGUAGCGGUGGAAUGCAUAGAUAUUACAUAGAAUACCGAUUGCGAAGGCAGUCUACUAACUGUAUACUGACGCUGAUGGACGAAAGCGUGGGGAGCGAACAGGAUUAGAUACCCUGGUAGUCC